rnacentral:rRNA from 1 species
UACGUAGGGUGCAAGCGUUGUCCGGAAUUAUUGGGCGUAAAGAGCUCGUAGGCGGUUUGUCGCGUCUGCUGUGAAAACGCGAGGCUCAACCUCGCGCCUGCAGUGGGUACGGGCAGACUGGAGUGCGGUAGGGGAGAUUGGAAUUCCUGGUGUAGCGGUGGAAUGCGCAGAGUAUCAGGAGGAACACCGAUGGCGAAGGCAGAUCUCUGGGCCGUGAACUGACGCUGAGGAGCGAAGCGUGGGGAGCGAACAGG